rnacentral:rRNA from 1 species
UACGAAUGGAGCGAGCGUUGUUCGGAAUCACUGGGCGUAAAGCGUACGCAGGCUGUUGUGAAAGUUAGAAGUGAAAGCCCUGGGCUUAACCCAGGAAUUGCUUUUAAAACUACACAACUAGAGUACUGGAGAGGUUGGCGGAAUUCCGAGUGUAGCAGUGAAAUGCGUAGAUAUUCGGAGGAACACCAAUGGCGAAGGCAGCCAACUGGACAGUUACUGACGCUCAUGUACGAAAGCGUGGGGAUCAAACAGG